CCCAACUCCAGUUCAUGUUUUUCCCUCCAACUCUAAGCCUUUUUCUUCCUCUGCUAUUACCCAGGCACCCUACCCUGUCAACAACACUGGCCUUCAAGACCCUUUGUAGCAUAACUCCCACCUAUAACUCCCACCUGAAGCCAGCCCUUCCCACCUCUGCGCCUCUGAUGCCCAGGACAGCUCUGACCAUGGGCAGCUCUGACCCAGGACAGCUCUGACCUUGGGCAGCCCUGAUCUGGGGCAGCUCUGACCUCGAGUAGCUGUGACCCUGGGCAGCUCUGACUCUGGGUAGUCGUGACCCUGGGGAACUCUCAGCACGGGGGUUGCAUGCUCCUGUUUAGACAGCUGCUGUCCCCCAAGCUGGCUCACUAUCCCAUGUUGGAGUGCACUGUUCGGGGCUGCCUGCCUGGAUUGAUGCAGGGAAACUUGGUUCCAGCCCACCUCCUCCUGCGGAGGCUGAGUCAGGGGCUCUUCCCUCGGCCAGGCUGAAAGGCAGCAGUUGGUCCCCCUGUGAGGUCUUCCACAUGGCCUGGGAGAGUCUCCCCAUCUCUUCAGGCAGAAGGGAGGACAGUCCAUAAUGUUCCUUCCAGUCGUCUGAUUUGUCAUUUUUCUACCCCAAAUCUUGCACUUUAACCCCAUAGAGAGCUCCUGAAGGGGGAAUUUUAACUGGCAAAACUCAGAACUCCAUCCAAACACAACCGAAACCAUCCUGGGUGGCUUAGAGGUGGCUGCCUCCCAGACAAGUCCAUAGCCCCACAGAAACGUCUGGUCCUUCACCUGCCAGAGCUCAGGCUUUUUGGUUGAAGCCGGAGACAGGCCCAGCUCAGAGUGUGCCCCGGUUUAUCCUGAACACCGACUUGGUGCGGUGUGUGUGACAGACCAGCGAAGCGGGUCUUGCUGCCUGUCCUGUGGUUGGCCCUUGGCUCCCAGCCUCGAGUCCUACCCUUAGGCCAGGUCAGAGCAGGUUCAGCAGCAGGACUGGCUAGGCACCACCCAGGCUCAUGAGGUGGCUUUGUGGGGAGGAAAUGAGGUUUUUUUUUUUCUCUUGUAAAGUUGCUUGUUGUUAAUUUAAAAUUUUAAUUUCAUUUCUGAAUUAACAUUCAGCAAAACUGCUAUUUUUUGGUGUACAGUUCUAUGAGUUUAACACAUUUAUAGAUUCAUGUAGCAACACUGUGGAUACAGAACAGUUACAUCACCCCCAGAACUCCGUUCACAGUCACACUCCCCGACCCAGCCCCGGCAGCUCUCCCUGUGGUUUGUCUUUUGCAGAGGAAAUCCCGCAGCUGGCGGCACUUGGAGACCGGCUCCUCGCCGAGCCGACCGCGCGUGCGCGGCUCCCUCCUCGUCCGUGCUGAGCGCCGCGUGGGGUUCCGCGUGGAGGCGCCUGUGCCGCUGAAGCGUGUUUGGGUUGCUUCCAGGGUGGGAUGGUUGUUGGAUAGAGCUGUUUGUGCAUUUGCGUUGUAGGUUUUUGUGUGAACAUAAGCUUUUGUUUCUCUCGGGUACAUACCCAGAAGUGCAAUUGCUGAGUCAUGUGGGAAGCGUGUGCCCAACUUUACAGGAAAACGCCACAGGCCGCCCCUUCGCUUUGCGCUCCCGCUAAUCGGGAAUGAGUGCCUGCUGCUCCGCGUUCUUGCGGGCACCCAGCAUUUUCCGUGCUUACAUUUCAGCCAUCCCGGAAUGAAUGAAAAGCGUUUCCUAGUGGCUGUAAUUUGCAUCUCCCUGGUGGCUGAUGGAAGCUUAUUUCCCAUCCAUAUCCCUUGCUUGGUGACGCAUCUGUUCAAGUCCUUCCCCGGACUGGACCUCACUGUGGGAACAACAAGAUCAACAAGAGGAGCAAGAACAACAUCAAGAGUCAGAGCCCGGGGGUCCUGACGGGUACAGGAUGGGUACAGACCCACACAGGAAUCCCAGAGUGUGUUCCACAGCAGGACACGCCUGCGCUGAAAGAGUGGGCAGAAAGGAGCUGACCUGGGAGUUGGAGCUCAUGCUGGACUUCAUGACUCACUCUUAACCAGCAGGACAUGGAGAGGAAAACAGUCACUCUCCCGUGGGGAGACCUGGCAGGCCUCACCUUGGCCGUGUGAUCAAGGUCCAGACCACCAGUGAUGAGGCAUGUUGACAUCGUGGCCCCUGAGAGCACGUGAUGAGAAGAGCGCUCCACCUCCGCCGUGUUCUUCCGCAAACGCACAGUUCCAAUGUAAUCAGAGAGAACAUCACACACACACCAAUUGAGGGGCGUCUUGCAGAAUACCUGAGCAGCACUCUGCAAAGCUGUCAAGGCGGUGAAACGAAGACAGGCCAGGAAAGGGUCACAGGUGCAGGGGACUAAGGAGGCGUGAGGGCCAGUGCAGCCUGGGGUCCUGGACGUGAGCUGCCGAGACGGCACCCGUGUGAGUGUCGCAGUUUCCACACCGUGAGCUGCUGAGACGGCACCCGCGUGAGUGUCGCAGUUUCCACACCGUGAGCUGCUGAGACGGCACCCGCGUGAGUGUCGCAGUUUCCACACCGUGAGCUGCUGAGACGGCACCCGCGUGAGUGUCGCAGUUUCCACACCGUGAGCUGCUGAGACGGCACCCGCGUGAGUGCCGCAGUUUCCACACCGUGAGCUGCUGAGACGGCACCCGCGUGAGUGCCGCAGUUUCCACACCGUGAGCUGCUGAGACGGCACCCGCGUGAGUGCCGCAGUUUCCACACCGUGAGCUGCUGAGACGGCACCCGCGUGAGUGUCGCAGUUUCCACACCGUGAGCUGCUGAGACGGCACCCGCGUGAGUGUCGCAGUUUCCACACCGUGAGCUGCUGAGACGGCACCCGCGUGAGUGUCGCAGUUUCCACACCGUGAGCUGCUGAGACGGCACCCGCGUGAGUGUCGCAGUUUCCACACCGUGAGCUGCUGAGACGGCACCCGCGUGAGUGUCGCAGUUUCCACACCGUGAGCUGCUGAGACGGCACCCGCGUGAGUGUCGCAGUUUCCACACCGUGAGCUGCUGAGACGGCACCCGCGUGAGUGUCGCAGUUUCCACACCGUGAGCUGCUGAGACGGCACCCGCGUGAGUGUCGCAGUUUCCACACCGUGAGCUGCUGAGACGGCACCCGCGUGAGUGCCGCAGUUUCCACACCGUGAGCUGCUGAGACGGCACCCGCGUGAGUGUCGCAGUUUCCACACCGUGAGCUGCUGAGACGGCACCCGCGUGAGUGUCGCAGUUUCCACACCGUGAGCUGCUGAGACGGCACCCGCGUGAGUGUCGCAGUUUCCACACCGUGAGCUGCUGAGACGGCACCCGCGUGAGUGUCGCAGUUUCCACACCGUGAGCUGCUGAGACGGCACCCGCGUGAGUGUCGCAGUUUCCACACCGUGAGCUGCUGAGACGGCACCCGCGUGAGUGUCGCAGUUUCCACACCGUGAGCUGCUGAGACGGCACCCGCGUGAGUGUCGCAGUUUCCACACCGUGAGCUGCUGAGACGGCACCCGCGUGAGUGUCGCAGUUUCCACACCGUGAGCUGCUGAGACGGCACCCGCGUGAGUGUCGCAGUUUCCACACCGUGAGCUGCUGAGACGGCACCCGCGUGAGUGUCGCAGUUUCCACACCGUGAGCUGCUGAGACGGCACCCGCGUGAGUGUCGCAGUUUCCACACCGUGAGCUGCUGAGACGGCACCCGCGUGAGUGUCGCAGUUUCCACACCGUGAGCUGCUGAGACGGCACCCGCGUGAGUGUCGCAGUUUCCACACCGUGAGCUGCUGAGACGGCACCCGCGUGAGUGUCGCAGUUUCCACACCGUGAGCUGCUGAGACGGCACCCGCGUGAGUGUCGCAGUUUCCACACCGUGAGCUGCUGAGACGGCACCCGCGUGAGUGUCGCAGUUUCCACACCGUGAGCUGCUGAGACGGCACCCGCGUGAGUGUCGCAGUUUCCACACCGUGAGCUGCUGAGACGGCACCCGCGUGAGUGUCGCAGUUUCCACACCGUGAGCUGCUGAGACGGCACCCGCGUGAGUGUCGCAGUUUCCACACCGUGAGCUGCUGAGACGGCACCCGCGUGAGUGUCGCAGUUUCCACACCGUGAGCUGCUGAGACGGCACCCGCGUGAGUGUCGCAGUUUCCACACCGUGAGCUGCUGAGACGGCACCCGCGUGAGUGUCGCAGUUUCCACACCGUGAGCUGCUGAGACGGCACCCGCGUGAGUGUCGCAGUUUCCACACCGUGAGCUGCUGAGACGGCACCCGCGUGAGUGUCGCAGUUUCCACACCGUGAGCUGCUGAGACGGCACCCGCGUGAGUGUCGCAGUUUCCACACCAUGAGCUGCUGAGACGGCACCCGCGUGAGUGUCGCAGUUUCCACACCGUGAGCUGCUGAGACGGCACCCGCGUGAGUGUCGCAGUUUCCACACCGUGAGCUGCUGAGACGGCACCCGCGUGAGUGUCGCAGUUUCCACACCGUGAGCUGCUGAGAUGGCACCCGCGUGAGUGUCGCAGUUUCUACACCGUGAGCUGCUGAGAUGGCACCCAUGUGAGUGUCGCAGUUUCUACACCGUGAGCUGCUGAGAUGGCACCCAUGUGAGUGUCGCAGUUUCCACACCGUGAGCUGCUGAGAUGGCACCCAUGUGAGUGUCGCAGUUUCUACACCGUGAGCUGCUGAGAUGGCACCCAUGUGAGUGUCGCAGUUUCCACACGUGCCUCAUUGCUGUGUAAGAUGCUCAAGUGAGAGGAAGCUGGUGAACGGGUCUGUGGGAAGUUGCUGUACUGUCUUUGCAACUCUUCUGGACAUCUUUUUUUUUUUUUUUAAAUAAAACAUUUUUAACGUGAAAAUAUGCAGAGCACGGUGGCUCGCACCUGUAAUCCCAGCACUUUGGGAGGCCGAGGCAGGUGGAUCAUGAGGUCAGGAGUUCAAGACCAGCCUAGCCAACAUGGUGAAACCCCGUCUCUACUAAGAAUACAAAAAUUAGCUGGGCGUGGUGAUGGGCAUCUGUAAUCCCAGCUACUCGGGAGGCUGAGGCAGGAGAAUCACUUGAACCCGGGAGGCAGAGGUUGCAGUGAGCCGAGAUCGCGCCCCUGCACUCCAGCCUGGGUGACAGAGCAAGACUCCAUCUCAAAAAAAAUAAAGGAAAUAUGCGUCGUUGGAUGCUGUAUGACAAUCAAGCUACUUAUAACAAACAAAAUUGAGAAUGAAGGAUUAUGAUCCAAACUCAGCUGGGCCUCCCCUCCCUGCCCCAGGAUUGUGGAGUGAGAACGUUGCAGCAGGAGAGAACAACGCAGCAAAGCACAGCAGGGGAACCGGAAAUGCUCACCUUUUGACAGGGUACUUUUAGUUCUGGGGCCUUAUCUUAAGGAUAUUCCAACAUAUACAAAAAGAUUCAUGCACAGAGAUAUUUACUUUAGUAUUAUUUACCAUAGGAAAAAAGUUGGAAACAAUACAUUUUAUGUUCUGUAAAAUGAAAGAACAGUUAAAUAAAUCAUGGCUCUAAGACGACUCCAGGGCUGUGUACGGAAGUUCAGGGACAGAAUCAGUUGAGGCUAUUCCACCUGAGCCUAAGCUUCCUCUGCUGUAUGUCGGGAAUCAGGUGGGGGCCAAGCGAGAUCACCACAGUGCAGGCCAGUGUGCAGGGCACAGGUGGGCGCCAGGGAGGGGACGCCGCACAGCCCCAUGCUCUCGCCAAAAACGUGCAGCACAAUUUGGAAGAAAACAUUUCCAUCUGUUAAUAAAGAACAACGGCCUCUGGUCAUAAGUGACACAUGA